rnacentral:rRNA from 1 species
AAACUCAUUCUAUGACACGUACGGGAGGAUGACGGUUAUUCGCGUGUCGACCGUGCGACGGACAAAGGGAGUUUGGCUGUCUAAUUAAAACAAAGCAUUGUAAUGGUCCCCUUGGAUGCUUAUGUAAUGUGAUUUUUGCCCAGUGCUCUGAAUGUUAAAGUGAAAAAAUUCAACAAAGCACAAGUAAAUGAUGGGAGUAACUAUGACUCUCUUAAGGUAGCCAAAUCCCUCAUCAUCUAAUUAGUACGUGCAUGACUAGAUUAACAAGAUUUCCACUG